GUGACCUACCCAUGAGCAGGUUGAAGGUGAGGUAAAACUCACUGGAGGACCGAACCAGGGCACGUUAAAAAGUGCUUGGAUGACUUGUGGGUAGCGGAGAAAUUCCAAACGAACUUGGAGAUAGCUGGUUCUCUCCGAAAUAGCUUUAGGGCUAGCGUCGACAUUAAGAUUCUUGGAGGUAGAGCACUGUUUGGGUGAGGGGUCCAUCCCGGAUUACCAAUCUCAGAUAAACUCCGAAUGCCAAUGAAUUAUGGUCGGCAGUCAGACUGCGAGUGCUAAGAUCCGUAGUCGAAAGGGAAACAGCCCAGACCACCAGCUAAGGUCCCAAAAUAAUUGUUAAGUGGAAAAGGAUGUGGGGUUGCACAGACAACUAGGAUGUUAGCUUAGAAGCAGCUAUUCAUUCAAAGAGUGCGUAAUAGCUCACUAGUCGAGUGACACUGCGCCGAAAAUGUACCGGGGCUAAACAUAUUACCGAAGCUGUGGAUUGUCCUUUGGACAAUGGUAGGAGAGCGUUCUAAGGGCGUUGAAGCAUGAUCGCAAGGACAUGUGGAGCGCUUAGAAGUGAGAAUGCCGGUGUGAGUAGCGAAAGACGGGUGAGAAUCCCGUCCACCGAUUGACUAAGGUUUCCAGAGGAAGGCUCGUCCGCUCUGGGUUAGUCGGGUCCUAAGCUGAGGCCGACAGGCGUAGGCGAUGGAUAACAGGUUGAUAUUCCUGUACCACCUAUAAUCGUUUUAAUCGAUGGGGGGACGCAGUAGGAUAGGCGAAGCGUACGAUUGGAUUGUACGUCUAAGCAGUGAGAUUGAGUGUUAGGCAAAUCCGGCACUCUUAAGAUUGAGCUGUGAUGGGGAGAGGAAAUUGUUUCCUCGAGUCGUUGAUUUCACACUGCCGAGAAAAGCCUCUAGAUAGAGAUUAGGUGCCCGUACCGCAAACCGACACAGGUAGUUGGGAAGAG
rnacentral:rRNA from 1 species